CAAUUUGGAUUAUAAUCCAUACCCCCCGAUUGUGACCAAUUCCUUAGCUCUGAAUGGUAUAACCCAUUCUGAUGUUCACCAACAGGGGCUAGGGAUUCAGCAUGCAAUGGAAGUAGCUUUUGUGGCCUUGCAUAGUGACAACACAAAUUGCAACCUUCAUAAUGGUUUGGAAGAAUAUCUCGAAAGCAACACACACCAUGCCGAAAAAGGAACCAUUCAAAACAAAAAUAUGGCAAAGGAAAAACAACAACUUCUUGAACGACCAAAUAUGACUCUGGUUAAAUCAACGUGAAUCAACCCCAACAUUAUGCUGAGACGUUUUAAUCUGUUAAUUGGGGAAUCCAGCCUCAAUAGGAAGAAGAAACAAAGCGAAUACCCUUUAACCAAUUUAUCCAUGAAUUCUAAUAAAAGGCUACAGUUCAGGAUAAUUGAUGUUAUUGGGGGAGGACGUUUAAACUUUCUAUUCAAGGCAAAGUCAUGAAGGAUAUGCUUUUUACUUGUAAUCUUUGUGUCUUUUCUUUUGUGAUGAUUGUGAGAUACUAUGCUAUGUGAAGAAUGAUGAAGGAAAGUCAUAGUUUUUUAUUUUUUUUAUUUUUUUAUUUUUAUUGUUUAUGGGUUGAGGUAACCCAAUUACCUCCUAUUAAUAUAUGUGUUCUUGCUGAUAAA